GAGAAAGACACAGCGACCACAGCCAGGGAGGACGACCAGGAGAGCUCACUCAGAGGAGCGCCAUCUACGGGAGAGAAUUCUCCAGUCAGCCGGAUGGAAAGCCUCCCACCUAGUUCCACCUAUCAAGCGUCUCAUUGGUGAUCCACUUCUCCUGAGUACUAAUUAGUUCCACCUGUUCCUUAUUACCCUUAUGUUGAAAUACCUGUCCUUUGUGUAUAGCAAUACCUCAUUGUGAGGUAUUGCUAUGACUAUGUGUAUGCAUACUGAGCUGUUUUUCUGUUCUGUUUGCUCUCUGGUUUUGACCCUGCUUGUUUUGGGGAUUUCUGUUUGUUGGAUCUUCCCCUCUGUUUCAUUGUUAAUCUACUGCCAGCACAAUUCUGAACUUUGCUUACUUCUGUUUAUGUUGUGAAACACCCUUUUGCCAUUGUUUGCUCUGUUCUGGUUUUGAUCCCUGCCUGUUUACUGUUUAUGCCUCUGGAUUGCCCCAAUAUCAGUAAAGAUUUACCAUCUAUUUCA